UACGAAGGGGGCUAGCGUUGCUCGGAAUCACUGGGCGUAAAGGGUGCGUAGGCGGGUCUUAAGUCAGGGGUGAAAUCCUGGAGCUCAACUCCAGAACUGCCUUUGAUACUGAGGAUCUUGAGUUCGGGAGAGGUGAGUGGAACUGCGAGUGUAGAGGUGAAAUUCGUAGAUAUUCGCAAGAACACCAGUGGCGAAGGCGGCUCACUGGCCCGGAACUGACGCUGAGACGCGAAAAGCGUGGGGGAG
rnacentral:rRNA from 1 species